rnacentral:rRNA from 1 species
CCUACGGGAGGCAGCAGUGGGGAAUAUUGGACAAUGGGGGGAACCCUGAUCCAGCCAUGCCGCGUGUGUGAAGAAGGCCCUCGGGUUGUAAAGCACUUUCAGUGAGGAAGAACGCCUGGUGGUUAAUACCCAUCAGGAAAGACAUCACUCACAGAAGAAGCACCGGCUAACUCCGUGCCAGCAGCCGCGGUAAUACGGAGGGUGCGAGCGUUAAUCGGAAUUACUGGGCGUAAAGCGCGCGUAGGUGGCUUGAUAAGCCGGGUGUGAAAGCCCCGGGCUCAACCUGGGAACGGCAUCCGGAACUGUCAAGCUAGAGUGCAGGAGAGGAAGGUAGAGUUCCCGGUGUAGCGGUGAAAUGCGUAGAGAUCGGGAGGAGUACCAGUGGCGAAGGCGGCCUUCUGGACUGACACUGACGCUGAGGUGCGAAUGCGUGGGUAGCAAACAGGAGUAGAUACCCCAGUAGUC